rnacentral:rRNA from 1 species
GACGAACGCUGGCGGCGUGCUUAACACAUGCAAGUCGAACGGAAAGGCCCUGCUUUUGUGGGGUGCUCGAGUGGCGAACGGGUGAGUAACACGUGAGUAACCUGCCCUUGACUUUGGGAUAACUUCAGGAAACUGGGGCUAAUACCGGAUAGGAGCUCCUGCUGCAUGGUGGGGGUUGGAAAGUUUCGGCGGUUGGGGAUGGACUCGCGGCUUAUCAGCUUGUUGGUGGGGUAGUGGCUUACCAAGGCUUUGACGGGUAGCCGGCCUGAGAGGGUGACCGGACAAAUUGGGACUGAGAUACGGCCCAGACUAGUCCGGGAGGCAGGAGUGGGGUAUAGUGCACAAGGGGAGGAAGCAUGAUGCAGCAAAGCAGCGUGCGGGAUGACGGGCUUCGGGUUGUAAACCGAUUUCGCCUGUGACGAAGCGAGAAUGACGGUAAUGGGUAAAGAAGCACCGGCUAACUACGUG